rnacentral:misc_RNA from 1 species
UCAAGAGGGACCAUCUCCGGCC